rnacentral:lncRNA from 1 species
UGUAAGACCAUGUCUGGGACAUGGCAUCGGCAUCUUACCCUUUUGUAUGAGGCUUAUCGGGUAUCCAUUUAUUUUUCCAACUAGUUUAACAGGUAAUUUAAAGAUUAUAUCAUGAUUGAGAAAAGUUAUGAUUACGUUGCAAGUGGUACAGGUACCUACACAAAACUCAUAAGAAUGAGCUGGAGUUACGUAUAUGAAUAGUAAGGAUGAAAUGAGUAAGUUAAGUCUUUAGUCAUUCAAGAAUCUUGUGC